ACGCACAAUUCAUUGUCCCGCUCUCGUCUUUAUUGAGAGAUGUGAUAUUUCUGUUGUGCCAGAUUAACACUGGAGGUAAAUUAGCAGAGUGGCUACUUGGUGCCACAUCUGCCAGUCCCCUCUGUACAAUG